rnacentral:rRNA from 12 species
GCUCGGACCUCAGAUCAGGCAAGACCACCCGCUGAGUUUAAGCAUAUCACUAAGCGGAGGAAAAGAAAC